rnacentral:rRNA from 1 species
UACGGGGGGGGCAAGCGUUGUUCGGAAUUACUGGGCGUAAAGGGCUCGUAGGCGGCCAACUAAGUCAGACGUGAAAUCCCCAGGCUCAACCUGGGAACUGCGUCUGAUACUGGUUGGCUUGAGUGCAGGAGAGGAACGCGGAAUUCCAGGUGUAGCGGUGAAAUGCGUAGAUAUCUGGAGGAACACCGGUGGCGAAGGCGGCGUUCUGGACUGCAACUGACACUGAGGAACGAAAGCCAGGGGAGCAAACGGG